GAUGAAGAACGCAGCGAAAUGCGAUAAGUAAUGUGAAUUGCAGAAUUUCCGUGAGUCAUCGAAUCUUUGAACGCACAUUGCGCCCGCCAGCAUUCUGGCGGGCAUGCCUGUUCGAGCGUCAUUUCAACCCUCGAGCCCCCCCGGGGGCCUCGGUGUUGGGGGACGGCACACCAGCCGCCCCCGAAAUGCAGUGGCGACCCCGCCGCAGCCUCCCCUGCGUAGUAGCACACACCUCGCACCGGAGCGCGGAGGCGGUCACGCCGUAAAACGCCCAACUUUCUUAGAGUUGACCUCGGAUCAGGUAGGAAUACCCGCUGAACUUAAGCAUAUCAAUAAGCGGAGGA
rnacentral:misc_RNA from 1 species